rnacentral:rRNA from 1 species
GACGAACGCUGGCGGCGUGCUUAACACAUGCAAGUCGAACGGAAAGGCCCUGCAUUUGUGGGGUGCUCGAGUGGCGAACGGGUGAGUAACACGUGAGUAACCUGCCCUUGACUUUGGGAUAACUUCAGGAAACUGGGGCUAAUACCGGAUAGGAGCUCCUGCUGCAUGGUGGGGGUUGGAAAGUUUCGGCGGUUGGGGAUGGACGCGCGGCUUAUCAGCUUGUUGGUGGGGUAGUGGCUUACCAAGGCUUUGACGGGUAGCCGGCCUGAGAGGGUGACCGGCCACAUUGGGACUGAGAGACGGCGCAGACUCCUACGGGGGGCAGCAGUGGGGAAUAUUGCACAAUGGGGGGAAGCCUGAGGCAGCAACGCCGCGUGCGGGAUGACGGCCUUCGGGUUGUAAACCGAGUUCGCCUGUGACGAAGAGUGAGUGACGGUAAUGGGUAAAGAAGCACCGGCUAACUACGUG